rnacentral:lncRNA from 1 species
UUAUGAGUUGUUAUCUUUUGCCUUGAAUCCUUGGUAAUUGUCUCCUACCUUAAAAUUGUAUAGUAGUGUAAAUCUCCGAGCAGGUAUUUUCUCUUCACUAUUUCUUCAACUGGUUUUAUACUCUCUUUCACUAUCUUCUUAUCUGAUUUAUUAGAAGGUCUAAUCUUAAUUGUUCAUAGAUUAAUCAUGAAUAUAAUAAAACUUCUUGUAUUCGCUUUUCUCUUAUCCGUACAAAACUGACGGUUGUUUGUGUAUAGAUAAAGGGUAUUUUGAAUUUUUGGUUUAGAUAUAGGAAUAGAAAAAUUGAAUCUUUCUUUGUAUUAUUUUGGAUUAGCAAUCAUAUAUGGUAAUUUUGAGAUGUAAAAAGAUGAUAUGAUUUUGGGAAGAUUAUAUGAAGUUAGUUGAUUAUAGGUGUAUUCUUUAAAACUUGAAGUGACAUGUUUAUUAGAACUUUCAAGGGGUACAAAAAUGGAGCAGAUCAAAGUUUGUUAUGCGUUGACUGGGUAAUUAAGCAGUAUGGAGUUCGUAUGACUUGUCGUUUACCUUGACUACAAUGGCAGAGCCACCUUAGGUUAAGGGGUAUCAUUUAUCGUAAAAUUACACUGUAUAGCUAAGUUAAAUUUUUUAUUUUUAUGUAUAUAUACUGUACGUUGAAUCUCCGUACCUUGUUCGUGUGUUUACUUCUUUAUAUUUUGGUACCUUUAGUAAAUUCCUGGCUUCUCCACUGCUUCGUCGUUAUCUUAUUUGAAUACUUUAGUUGGCUAUAUUCGAUAUCCGGGCAUAACAUUUUCCUCUCUAAGUUUUUUUUAUUGUCGAUUUUGAUAUCAUGGGCGGAUGGUCCUCAUAGAGGCUUGACCAAAGGAAUGUUUUACUAUCACAAAGUGAUUUCUGAAUAUUUUUCAGACGUACUUCAAUUUGUAGAAGGAUUAGUAAUACAGGAGAAUUCUUUCCCUCAUUCGGUGGUAUGGUGAAUUGAAUUUUUGUCUAAAUAAACUCACCUUAGUAGUACGAUUAGAUAAAUGAAGCAUUAGUGCUUUACACAAGAGAUUCUUUUCUAGCAACGGUGUUUUGGGAAGUAAACAUCCAAUUUCUUGUAUACAUGUUCUGUGUUUUUCAUAUCAGAAUCUUUGGAGGUUAUUCUAGUGGGUAGGAUUCUGCAAUUGUAACCUUGAAGUGAUUUUAAUGCGUCUAGCAUAUAUAUCUAGCUAGAUGCUUGCUGAUCAAAGCCAUCGUUACAACCUUGAAAAGAAUGUGAAGAGAAUGGGGGGCCGUACAUUUCUCUCACAACAAUGUGUUGCAGGUAUGUUAAGGCUAUCAUUUCUUUCUUUUGGCAUGAUCUACACGAUACAAACGAAACGAGAAAAUGUAUAACUUCCAUAAAUGACUCUAUUCAUAGAAGUAUUAGAAGUGCCUAUUUUCUUGAAUUUCCAUAUUUCUUGUGAUUAUAUCAUUUGUUCAUGGGUCUCAGAAAAAUACGUAAGUUGAAAAAAGGUUUAUUUCAUGAUAUUAUUCAAAGGCAUUAUGAUCUUAUGACAAUCCGAAAGAUUUUAUUAAUGUACUUCUCAUGCAUUGCAUUCGUUUACAUGUGCAUUUACCCAUGACUCAAACGGCGUUAUAUAUGCAUAUAUAUGUAUAUAUAUGUAUAUGGGAUAUAGAAAAAGGUUACGAAGUUAUAUACGCACCACCACCUGAUCAGCUGGUAUAUGAUGAUGAUGUUGCCCACAAUGGCUGAAAUAUGACUCAAACGGCAUUAUAUACGCCUAUAUGUAUAUAUAUGUAUAUGGUGUGAGCACGUGAUUUUUGCCCUACAAGAACUACUUCCACAAAAAUUCAAAAUAAAAUAGUUGUGUGUUGCUUGUGAUUUAUUUGUAUUUGUUUGUGCAUGUUUAUUCUAUUUUUACUACUGAAAAAUACAAAAAUAUAUGUGUUGCAUUUGCAUUUACAAUUAACCACUGAUUUGUUUUACGAAAAUGAAAAUCAUAAAAA